AGUGUUUGUUCUUCGUUCCACUGUCUGAUGUCUUCAUGUCAUUCGAUUUGGCCUUCAGAAAGAAACAAAGAACCAGAGAGCUCUCUGCCCUCUGCUCGUACAAGCCUUACGACCACAAGUCUGCUGAAUGGAUUCUCCUGUCUGAGAUGAAGAAAAUAGAGAUAUAAGUCAGAAGCAGAAAGUCAGAGGGAAGGAUCAGAAUGCAUCUUAGCUGAGGUGAGUUCACAGAUUCAAACAGUGUUACCCGUCUCAGCUCAGUUCCUGUAUUCUGGCUCAAGCACAUUUCUGGACCUGAAUAUAUCUCUGAAAGCAGCUAUCAUGGAGUGUCUCGCUCAUAAACGAGAUCUGCUAGAUUCACUCGUGCAUCUGUGUUCCUCUCUCUCUGACUCAGUGUAAUUAACAGAAGAGGAGCGACGUCACGUUUCCUCCGUGUUUGUGCCUCCGGAGCCGCCCACGCUCCAUCACAUCCAUCAGGACGUUCUGCUUCUCUGAGCGCAGGUCAAAGGUCACGCCGGCUGCCGGAGCGCUUAAUUCAGAAACACAGAUCCACAAUAAAAC
ensembl:lncRNA